AUGAACGCUGGCGGCGUGCCUAAUACAUGCAAGUCGAGCGAACGGACGAGGAGCUUGCUCCUCUGACGUUAGCGGCGGACGGGUGAGUAACACGUGGAUAACCUACCUAUAAGACUGGGAUAACUUCGGGAAACCGGAGCUAAUACCGGAUAAUAUGUUGAACCGCAUGGUUCAAUAGUGAAAGAUGGUUUUGCUAUCACUUAUAGAUGGACCCGCGCCGUAUUAGCUAGUUGGUGAGGUAACGGCUCACCAAGGCAACGAUACGUAGCCG
rnacentral:rRNA from 1 species